UACGUAGGGUGCAAGCGUUGGCCGGAUUCAUUGGGCGUAAAGAGCUCGUAGGCGGCUUAGUAAGUCAGGUGUGAAACCUCCAGGCUCAACCUGGAGACGCCACUUGAUACUGCUAUGGCUUGAGUUUGGUAGGGGUAAGCGGAAUUCCUGGUGUAGCGGUGAAAUGCGCAGAUAUCAGGAGGAACACCGAUGGCGAAGGCGGCAUCCUGGACCGGUAUUGACGCUGAGGAGCGAAAGCCAGGGGAGCAAACGGG
rnacentral:rRNA from 1 species